rnacentral:rRNA from 1 species
CACGUAGGGGGCAAGCGUUGUCCGGAAUCAUUGGGCGUAAAGAGCUCGUAGGCGGCUCAGUAAGUCGGGUGUGAAACCCUCAGGCUCAACCUGGGGACGCCACCCGAUACUGCUGUGGCUAGAGUCCAGUAGGGGAGUGUGGAAUUCCCGGUGUAGCGGUGAAAUGCGCAGAUAUCGGGAGGAACACCAGCGGCGAAGGCGGCUCUCUGGGACGGUACUGACGCUGAGGAGCGAAAGCGUGGGGAGCGAACAGG